rnacentral:lncRNA from 1 species
UCACACUGUAUAUACAGUCUCAUCUUUACAUCAAUUGGAGUCAGCAAAUAUGGGCCACACCCAAAAGAAUUAGCCUUUCCCUACUACGUUGUUUACCUCAAAGUGAACACAUCUCUGAGAGGAGAAAUGGGAGUUUUCAGUUGGAAUCUGACAACAGGAAUAUCUCUGAGACCACAACAGGGUUGAAUCUUCUGGGGAGACUGAGAAGGUACCAAAUCAGCCAAAUCACUGCAAAUGAGGCUCCGGCCAACACUCCACAGCAAGUUGGUUUAGUUGAUUAGAGGGCAGCACAGGUGUGGAGCACAUUCCGGUAAGACUGUAAUGAGGUGGCUGGCUCUCAGGGCAGACCCUGCAGCAUGAUCACUCUGGACUACGGCCAGUUACUCCCAGGCAAAAAUGCCAAAUACUAAGUUACCAGGAUGACUUUAUUGUU